AGAACGAACGCUGGCGGCAUGCCUAAUACAUGCAAGUCGAACGAACUCUUCGGAGUUAGUGGCGCACGGGUGCGUAACGCGUGGGAAUCUGCCCCUUGGUUCGGAAUAACAGUUGGAAACGACUGCUAAUACCGGAUGAUGACGAAAGUCCAAAGAUUUAUCGCCAAGGGAUGAGCCCGCGUAGGAUUAGCUAGUUGGUGAGGUAAAGGCUCACCAAGGCAACGAUCCUUAGCUGGUCUGAGAGGAUGAUCAGCCACACUGGGACUGAGACACGGCCCAGACUCCUACGGGAGCAGCAGUAGGGAAUAUGGACAAUGGGCGAAAGCCUGAUCCAGCAAGUGCCGCGUGAGUGAUGAAGGUCCUUAGGGUGUAAAGCUACCUUUCCGAGAUAGAUAUGACGA
rnacentral:rRNA from 1 species